AGCCUAGUGGCUCAGUGGUUAAGUGCUUAGCUGCUAACCAAAGGUCGGUGGUUCGAAUCCACCAGCUG
rnacentral:tRNA from 1 species